UACGGGGGGAGCAAGCGUUGUUCGGAUUUACUGGGCGUAAAGGGCGCGUAGGCGGUCGUGACAAGUCACUUGUGAAAUCUCCGGGCUUAACUCGGAACGGUCAAGUGAUACUGUCGGACUAGAGUACAGAAGAGGCAACUGGAAUUCUCGGUGUAGCGGUGAAAUGCGUAGAUAUCAGGAGGAACACCUGCGGUGUAGACGGCUUACUGGACCAUAACUGACGCUGAGGCACGAAAGCGUGGGUAGCAAACAGG
rnacentral:rRNA from 1 species